AUACGGAGGAUCCGAGCGUUAUCCGGAUUUAUUGGGUUUAAAGGGUGCGCAGGCGGCCAUUUAAGUCAGCGGUUAAAUCGUGGGGCUCAACCCCAUUCUGCCGUUGAUACUGGGUGGCUUGAUUGCGGUCGAGGUUGGCGGAAUUCGUUGUGUAGCGGUGAAAUGCAUAGAUAUGACGAAGAACACCGAUUGCGUAGGCAGCUGACCAGACCGCAAAUGACGCUCAUGCACGAAAGUGCGGGGAUCGAACAGGAUUAGAUACCCUGGUAGUCCGCACAGUAAACGAUGAAUACUUGUUUUCGGCGAUAUAAUGUCCGAGGCAAAGCGAAAGCGAUAAGUAUUCCACCUGGGGAGUACGCCGGCAACGGUGAAACUCAAAGGAAUUGGCGGGG
rnacentral:rRNA from 1 species